GUCGGGGACGCUGUGAGUGGGGGGAGAGGCAGCGUGUGAGGGCAGCCCCGUCGGGCUGGGGCUGCAGUCCCCUCGCUGGGUGACCCGGGGGGCUGAGAAGGCCCGCCGACCCUGCGAGGCCCUUACCCGACCCCCACCCAACGGCCACGUGGCCCCGCCGUGAGGGAUUUCAGAGAAGGGACGCACGGACUAUUCCUCGUGGCUGAAUGUUGCAGGUAAGGCCUGUCCCACCCCUCUGAGAAGCCAAAAGGCCAUUCGCGGACAGGCGGCCCCGGGGUCACAGGCGGGGGCCUCCGAGAGAGCCAGCGUGGCCUGCUGCCCGUGCGGUCACCCCAGACCGCCUCGCUCCUCUCUCCUUCUUAAUCCUUUCCUCCGCCAUCAGCCUGCAGCCGGGGGAGGGGCUGACGGCCGGUACCUGAGCAGGUGGGAAACCAGGCUGGUCACCAGGGACAGGUCCCCUGGGCUCCUCUUGAGCUUGGCCUUCCAGCGCUUUGGCCAGUCCUGCAGGACAGGAGACCUUGGGGGAGAGCCCGCGGGAAGCCCCUCCUCCCAAGCCAAGGCCACGCCCAGGGGCCCAGGCCUCCCUGCGGACGCCCCGCCCCGCCCCGCGCACUCACGUGGUCUUGCUCGUACUCGAGGAUGGCGGCGUAGAGGGCCCGCUGCUCCCGGUCCUCGGGGGUCAGGGCAACCUGGCUGCAGAACCUCCUGGGAGAAAGGACAGCUGAAGCCUCUGCACACUAAGGAUGGACGGAAAGGAUACUGUCUUCUCCCGGGCUUUAGCGAUCACCAGGUUCUCCAUCAUCUGCCGCUGCAGGGACAGGGUCUAGGACGGGAAGGAUGGAAUAAGGCCUACUUCCCCCACCGCCCUCACUCCAGACCCUCCUGGGCUCCGCUCACCAGGGAUGUCUUCUGCAUGGCCUGGCUGGGGUCCAGACGGGCCAUCCGGGCCUCAUAGGCAGCCUUCAGCUUCUGAUUCUGCAGGGACGCCUCCUCCAGGGGUGUCAACUCCCUGGAAUGGUGACAAGCUGCUGUCCAGGCUCCAGGAAGCCCAGGAACGCUCUGGUCACCUGAGGUCCCUUCCUGACCCUGCCUUGAGACCAGAAGAGCUUUGUGACUCUACAACCUGAAGCUUCUGGAAGAUCUCAGGCGGCAGAAAUGGAGAGAGCUUCCCUCCCUCAUCUGAGUAUACCCGGCGGUGUCGGCUGGUCGGAGAGGGGACGGGAGCAGCCACAGGCAUGGCUGGCCUCAGGCAUGUUUUCCCUGUAAGACAUACGUAGCCAAGGGUCUGCACAGGGGCCUGACAUUCCACAAAGGAGAUACAGACUUGGGACUUCCCUGGUGGCUCAGUGGUUAAGAAUCUGCCUGCCAACGCAGGGGACAAGGGUUCGAGCCCUGGUCCGGGAAGAUCCCAUGUGCUGUGGAGCAACUAAACCCGUGUGCCACAACUACCGAGCCUGCGCUCUAGAGCCCGCGAGCCACAACUACUGAGCCUGCAUGCCUAGAGUCUGUGCUCCGCAACGAAGAGAAGCCACUGCAAUGAGAAGCCCGCGCACUGCAACAAAGAAUAGCCCCUGCUCACUGCAACUAGAGAAAGCCCGCGCACAGCAACGAAGACCCAACGCGGCCAAAAAAUAAAUUAAUUAAUUUAAAAAAAAAAAAAAAAAAAAGGAGAUGCAGACUUGGGGGGGGUGAUGUCCUAAGAAAGCUUUCUGCCGGACACCCACCAAGUUUGGCAGCUGUCGACUGGGCCCUCUCCAGACACUGCUCAGCCAGCUUCAGCAUCUUCGAGGUGUCAGGGGUCACAGUUUCCCCAGCUUCUGGGGAGCAAGCGACAAGAAAGGUGGUCACCAUCACCUCUACCGCUAAUCAGAUUCUUGCUGGGAUAGAAACAAAGGUGAGCCCAC